UGGUGUAACUGGAAAGCACAUCCGACUGGUAUUCGGAAAACGCGGAGUUCGAAUCUCGC
rnacentral:tRNA from 1 species